rnacentral:piRNA from 1 species
UCAGCUUUUUCCACUUAGAAA